rnacentral:rRNA from 1 species
AACGUAGGGGGCAAGCGUUGCCCGGAUUCACUGGGCGUAGAGCGGGUGUAGGCGGUUCUUUAAGUCAGAUGUGAAAUCCUGCGGCUCAACCGCGGAACUGCAUCUGAUACUGGGGAACUUGAGGACGGUAGAGGUCGGUGGAAUCCCCGGUGUACCGGUGAAAUGGGCAGAUAUCGGGGGGAACACCAGUGGCGAAGGCGGCCGACUGGGCCGAUCCUGACGCUGAGACCCGAAAGCCAGGGUAGCGAACCGG